CAUAACGGUUGUUGGAGAUUCUUGUUUUGAGUUGCUUCCUGCACCCGCUUUACUUUGGGUCAUUUCUUUAAUCCCACCGUAGCAUUGUUUUAUGUUCUUUCCAUUAAUAAUGGUACUUUGUGUUACUUGUUCACAUUUAACGUCGAGAUUUUUAUUAGGUGGUUUCGUUGGCUAGAUUCGUUCUUUCCCAAAAAAUGUCAUUUGUUAAAUAUAGUUGAAGAAGUAAAUUAUUAUGCUGUAUUAAUAUUCUCACUAGGGGGAAAUUUCUUCCUAUCGAUAAGUAAGAUGCUCAUUAUACGGGCCUUUAGAUUUAUAGAUAUAUGCCCCUUCUUUUUUUGGUUGUUGAUCUUUUUCCCUUAUUCACUGAACUUCUACAAAAGUUGCUUAUGAUAAUCGAACUGUGCUCGAGUGCCAAAUUGGAAAGCUACUUUGGUUGACUAAAGAUUUUGUAUUUAAGUGGGUCUAAGCCUUCUUGGAUAUCUACUCAUCGGAGAAUUGUUUGAUGCAUUCAUUAGUGCACGGCAACCUUCUUAUAGACUAUUUGACCAUUUGCCAAGAUCGUAAGUAGAGCUCUGCAGCUUUCUAGCCAAGCGGGGUAAAAAAAAACAAAAUUAGAGCUCUGCCGCUUCUCUUCUGUAUCAGUGCCUUGCACAGCUACAC